CCUACGGGAGGCAGCAGUGGGGAAUUUUGGACAAUGGGCGCAAGCCUGAUCCAGCAAUGCCGCGUGAGUGAAGAAGGCCUUCGGGUUGUAAAGCUCUUUUGUCAGGGAAGAAACGGUGGGGGCUAAUAUCCUCCACUAAUGACGGUACCUGAAGAAUAAGCACCGGCUAACUACGUGCCAGCAGCCGCGGUAAUACGUAGGGUGCAAGCGUUAAUCGGAAUUACUGGGCGUAAAGCGUGCGCAGGCGGUUUUGUAAGUUUGUCGUGAAAUCCCCGGGCUCAACCUGGGAAUGGCGAUGAAGACUGCAAGGCUAGAAUCUGGCAGAGGGGGGUAGAAUUCCACGUGUAGCAGUGAAAUGCGUAGAGAUGUGGAGGAACACCGAUGGCGAAGGCAGCCCCCUGGGUCAAGAUUGACGCUCAUGCACGAAAGCGUGGGGAGCAAACAGGAUUAGAUACCCUGGUAGUCCACGCCCUAAACGAUGUCUACUAGUUGUCGGGUUUUAAUUAACUUGGUAACGCAGCUAACGCGUGAAGUAGACCGCCUGGGGAGUACGGUCGCAAGAUUAAAACUUAAAUUGAAAUUGAGGCNGAGNGNGCGAGCGACGACGAGGAGAGG
rnacentral:rRNA from 1 species